AACCCCCUGUUCUUUGUUCCUCUCUGAACCCAUCGACAAAACUCCGUGGAAGAAAAUCCAAGCUGAAUUCUGACGCGCGAUUAAACGGCGGGUGUUGUGUUUUUUUCGUCUAGGUUCUUUUUUUGCAAACCAGAUUGGAAGGAAGGCAGCAUUUUCGGCACUACUGUAAGAAUAAGAUCAAGCAUUGUCAUGAGAUAAAAAAAUGGAGAUAAGAUAUUGUUCACGCUCUAACAGUAUUUUCGACACUACUGUAAGAUGGAAGGACUUCCAAUGACAUUUGUGUUUUAUCAUGGUGGCAAGUUUAAAACCGAUAUAAGGGGAAGAAUGAUUCAUGAACCAUAUCACACAGAAGUGUUAAUGGGUAACCACACAUACACCUGUAG